GGGAGUAUAGCUCAGUUGGUUAGAGCACUCCCCUGAUAAGGGAGAGGUCGAUGGUUCGAGUCCAUUUAUUCCCACCA
rnacentral:tRNA from 2 species